ensembl:snoRNA small nucleolar RNA SNORD113/SNORD114 family
UGGAUCCGUGAUGACGGUGGGUGCUGUAUGAGUCGUGAAUCAUGAUUACAGGUCUGUGAGUCUGAGCUUCAC